AACGAACGCUGGCGGCAUGCCUAACACAUGCAAGUCGAACGAGACCUUCGGGUCUAGUGGCGCACGGGUGCGUAACGCGUGGGAACCUGCCCUUAGGUUCGGAAUAACUCCCCGAAAGGGGUGCUAAUACCGGAUAAUGUCUUCGGACCAAAGAUUUAUCGCCUUUGGAUGGGCCCGCGUUGGAUUAGCUAGUUGGUAGGGUAAAAGCCUACCAAGGCGACGAUCCAUAGCUGGUCUGAGAGGAUGAUCAGCCACACUGGGACUGGGACACGGCCCAGACUCCUACGGGAGGCAGCAGGGGGGAAUAUUGGACAAUGGGCGAAAGCCUGAUCCAGCAAGGCCGCGUGAGUGAUGAAGGCCUUAGGGUUGUAAAGCUCUUUUACCCGGGAUGAUAAUGACAGUACCGGGAGAAUAAGCGCCGGCUAACUCCGUG
rnacentral:rRNA from 1 species